GAUGAACGCUGGCGGCGUGCCUAAUACAUGCCAGUCAAGCGAACGGACGAGAAGCUUGCUUCUCUGAUGUUAGCGGCGGACGGGUGAGUAACACGUGGAUAACCUACCUAUAAGACUGGGAUAACUUCGGGAAACCGGAGCUAAUACCGGAUAAUAUUUUGAACCGCAUGGUUCAAAAGUGAAAGACGGUCUUGCUGUCACUUAUAGAUGGAUCCGCGCUGCAUUAGCUAGUUGGUAAGGUAACGGCUUACCAAGGCAACGAUGCAUAGCCGACCUGAGAGGGUGAUCGGCCACACUGGAACUGAGACACGGUCCAGACUCCUACGGGAGGCAGCAGUAGGGAAUCUUCCGCAAUGGGCGAAAGCCUGACGGAGCAACGCCGCGUGAGUGAUGAAGGUCUUCGGAUCGUAAAACUCUGUUAUUAGGGAAGAACAUAUGUGUAAGUAACUGUGCACAUCUUGACGGUACCUAAUCAGAAAGCCACGGCUAACUACGUG
rnacentral:rRNA from 1 species